rnacentral:rRNA from 1 species
GAUGAACGCUGGCGGCGUGCCUAAUACAUGCAAGUCGAGCGAACAGACGAGGAGCUUGUUCCUCUGACGUUAGCGGCGGACGGGUGAGUAACAUGUGGAUAAUCUACCUAUAAGACUGGGAUCACUUCGGGAAACCGGAGCUAAUAGCGGAUAACAUGCUGCAGCGCAUGGUUCAAUAGUGAAUGACGGUCGUGCUGUCUCUACUAGAUGGAUCCGCGCUGCAUUAGCUAGUUGGUAAGGUAACGGCUUACCAAGGCAAGGAGGCGUAGCCGACGUGAGGGGGUGAUCGCCGGCACGGGAGCUGAGACACGGUCCAGACUCCUACGGUAGGCAGCAGUAGGGAAUCUUCCGCAAUAGGCGAAAGCCUGACGGAGCAACGCCGCGUGAGUGAAGGAGGUCUUCGGAGCGUAAAGCUCUGUUAUGGGGGAAAAACAAAUGUGUAAGUAGCUAUGCACGUCUUGACGGUACCUAGUAAGAAAGCCACGGCUAACUACGUG